rnacentral:sRNA from 1 species
ACAAAACAGGCAGGAAGUACAAAUUCCUGCCAUUUCGCGGUCAAGUCUUGGGAGGAUCAGAUCUUAGGCGCGCGUAGACGCUGCCACCGCACAACGGAUAGAGAUCACGCGAUACCUGUAAAACAAGGCUUUUAGCCUUGUUUUUUUU